rnacentral:rRNA from 1 species
UACGAAUUCGCCCUUAGAGUUUGAUCAUGGCUCAGAUUGAACGCUGGCGGCAGGCCUAACACAUGCAAGUCGAGCGGUAACAGAGAGAAGCUUGCUUCUCUGCUGACGAGCGGCGGACGGGUGAGUAAAGCCUAGGAAUCUGCCUAGUAGUGGGGGAUAACUUGCCGAAAGGUAAGCUAAUACCGCGUACGUCCUACGGGAGAAAGCAGGGGCCUCUUCGGAGCCUUGCGCUAUUAGAUGAGCCUAGGUCAGAUUAGCUAGUUGGUGAGGUAAAGGCUCACCAAGGCGACGAUCUGUAACUGGUCUGAGAGGAUGAUCAGUCACACUGGAACUGAGACACGGUCCAGACUCCUACGGGAGGCAGCAGUGGGGAAUAUUGGACAAUGGGGGAAACCCUGAUCCAGCCAUGCCGCGUGUGUGAAGAAGGUCUUCGGAUUGUAAAGCACUUUAAGUUGGGAGGAAGAGCUUACGGUUAAUACCCGCUAAGUUUUGACGUUACCAACAGAAUAAGCACCGGCUAACUUAGUGCCAGCAGCCGCGGUAAUACGAAGGGUGCAAGCGUUAAUCGGAAUUACUGGGCGUAUAGCGCGCGUAGGUGGUUUGUUAAGUUGGAAGUGAAAGCCCCGGGCUCAACCUGGGAAUUGCUUUCAAAACUAGCAGGCUAGAGUACAGUAGAGGGUAGUGGAAUUUCCUGUGUAGCGGUGAAAUGCGUAGAUAUAAGAAGGAACAUCAGUGGCGAAGGCGACUACCUGGACUGAUACUGACACUGAGGUGCGAAAGCGUGGGGAGCAAACAGGGAUUAGAUACCCUGGUAGUCCACGCCGUAAACGAUGUCAACUAGUUGUUGGGU